GAGAUUGCUCCCUGGUGGUGAUUGCCUCAGCAAUUCCCUAUGAAGACAUCCAUAUUGGAUUUAUACACAUUGAUAAGAACACCUCUGUGAAGAGCCUUCUUCGGAGUCCCAGCUCUCCCAGUCUCUCCUCAUAUGAAAGAUGCUCAAGUCUCUUAAUCAUCUUUGUUGUUCUAUGCUGGACUGACUUCAGCAAAGUUGCUCUUAUAUCGGGAACCCAAGACUGGAGAUCCUGCUAAAGUUGAGGUCCUACAGCUGACCAGAAGAAGCAGACAUUUGCACAUGGUUCAAAUGGCUUAAGAUCUGGAAUCACAUCAUCUAUUGUCCUUUGAUGAGAUGGCAGAAGGAAAAGAGAAUGAUGGACAGUAGAGCCUGAAAGAAAUUUGGAUAAGCACUGCAUGAAGUAAGUAAUGAGGCAGGAGAAGAAUGUGUUACAGACUGUACACAGAUUAUCACUAGUCUCAGAAAGGGGAAAAGACUGCAACACCUCUGCCAUAUCCAUAUCUGCCAACUAUUCAAUAAAAGGAAGACACGAUCA